CUUGAUGAUGGGUACAAGAGGAAUGUUUUAUUAUGCCAAGUGGCCAGAUUAUAUUCAGCAUGGGAUCUACAUUCACUUGUACAGUAAGCCCGCCCAGGCGCCUUUGUGACUGGGAGACAAGAGAGCUAACGUUUGCUUAAUCUAAUUAUCUCCCACUAGAAGUACAAAAUAUUAUACAAAAUCCUCAAAAUAUACAUAACACAUAUAUGAACC